rnacentral:rRNA from 1 species
UCGAGGAUCUUGGACAAUGGGGGAAACCCUGAUCCAGCGACGCUGCGUGGAGGAUGAAGGCCUUCGGGUUGUAAACUCCUGUCAUUCGGGAAAAAUGACUCCGGGACGAAUACUCCCGGGGAAUGAUGGUACCGGAAGAGGAAGCCACGGCUACCUCUGUGCCAGCAGCCGCGGUAAUACAGAGGUGGCAAGCGUUGUUCGGAUUUACUGGGCGUAAAGGGUGCGUAGGUGGUUACUCAUGUCGGGUGUGAAAGCCCACGGCUCAACCGUGGAACGGCAUUCGAAACGGGGUAACUGGAGUGCAGGAAGGGAGAGCGGAAUUCUUGGUGUAGCGGUGAAAUGCGUUGAUAUCAAGAAGAACACCGGUGGCGAAGGCGGCUCUCUGGAAUGCUACUGACACUGAGGCACGAAAGCUGGGGGAGCAAACAGG